rnacentral:pre_miRNA from 1 species
UCUUACAGAUGAGUAAAGACAGUGGUUUCCUAAGAUGGAAUCUACUCCUGGUGUGGAUGCUGUGAA